UUUGGUGGCGAUGGCGGAGGGGUUCCACACGUACCCAUCCCGAACACGACCGUUAAGCCCUCUAGCGCCGAUGGUACUUGGACCGCAGGGU
rnacentral:rRNA from 2 species